GGACCCUUAGCUCAGUUGGUCAGAGCAACCGGCUCAUAACCGGUCGGUCCUGGGUUCAAGUCCCCGAGGGUCCA
rnacentral:tRNA from 1 species